CCCGCCAUUGUUGUAUCAUCACCACAAGCUGCCGAGCUAUUUCUCAAGACCCACGACUUAUUAUUCGCUAGCCGUCCCAUGUUACAAGCUUUCCCUUACGUGUCCUAUGGCAACAAGGGCGUGGUUUUUUCGGAGUAUGGCCCUUACUGGCGCAGCGUCAGGAAAUUGUGCACUUUACAACUUCUUUCUGCGUCGAAAAUUGAGUACUUUGCUCCGAUGAGGAGGGAGGAGGUGGGGUUGCUGGUUGAUUCGCUGAAGAAAGCUGCGGCGGCGCGUGACGUUGUGGAUAUUAGUUUAGGUGUGGGAGACCUGAUUCAGAACAUGACUUGUAGGAUGGUUUUUGGGGAAGCUAAAAAUAGUGAAUUUGAUUUAAAGCCGCUGGC
rnacentral:misc_RNA from 1 species